rnacentral:tRNA from 2 species
UCAGAUAAGCUAGAGCAUGCGGCUGUUAACCGCAGGGUCGUUGGUUCGAGUCCAACAGGGGGAGCCA